rnacentral:rRNA from 1 species
GCACAAGCGGUGGAGCAUGUGGUUCAAUUCGAUGCAACGCGAAGAACCUUACCAGGACUUGACAUCCUGCGAAUCCCUUGGAAACAAGGGAGUGCCCUUUUAGGGAGCGCAGAGACAGGUGGUGCAUGGUUGUCGUCAGCUCGUGUCGUGAGAUGUUGGGUUAAGUCCCGCAACGAGCGCAACCCUUGCCCUUAGUUGCCAACACAUAAUGGUGUGCACUCUAAGGGGACUGCCGGUGACAAACCGGAGGAAGGUGGGGAUGACGUCAAAUCAUCAUGCCCUUUAUGUCCUGGGCUACACACGUACUACAAUGGCCGUUAACAACGGGAAGCUAAGCCGCGAGGUGGAGCAAAUCCCCAAAAACGGUCCCAGUUCGGAUUGCAGGCUGAAACUCGCCUGUAUGAAGUUGGAAUUGCUAGUAAUCGCAGAUCAGCAUGCUGCGGUGAAUACGUUCCCGGGC